rnacentral:lncRNA from 1 species
GCCUUAGAAGAAGAUACAGUUACAAAGAGAAGGAAAUAACUCCUCAUCGGAAGAAAACAAGGAAAUAGCAUGCACAGGUGAAACAUUCUAAGCAGACUGGUCUUCCCAGUGAGAUGUUGAAACUCAUUAAGUUGGUUGUUGCUGCAGUGACCCCAGUCAUCAUAAGGCGAAGUAACUUGAAGCAGCUCUGGUCCUGUAAUUCAGAAUGCCGCAAUAGGCCAGAAAACCCUAGAAAUCCCAUCCAAAUAAAGCUCAAGGGAGUACAAAGAGGUAUUUUUUCU